UCCCUGGUGGCUCAGAGGUUAAAGCGUCUGCCUCCAAUGCAGGAGACCCGGGUUCGAUUCCUGGUCAGGAAG
rnacentral:tRNA from 1 species